AUAAAAUGAUGAGUGCGUGCGUUGUCAAUGGAGAGAAAACAAAAACAUAUUUAGAAAGUUACCUACCAUGGCUGUAGAUCCAGGAAGGUCUGAAACGAGAAGAGCUGGACAUGGAAACUGAGCCCUCGCCCUUUACAUUCACGUCACGCUACGAAGUUCUCUUCAGCAAGACGUCACCCAUUCGUGAUCACCGACACACCAAACUGGGACGCAAAACUAAACACGAAAAUGAGACGAGAGCAGGGAAACACAGAGAGGAGCUGGGUAAUGAGGUGAGCACCCUCAGACUUGUCUUAUUAUCAUCUCUUAAUGUAUUAUUCUUUUCCCCUCCAAAAAAAAAAAA